rnacentral:lncRNA from 13 species
AUGGGAAGGGGAAGGGGCAAAGUCAGGAAGGCAAACCUAAAUAUUAUGGGCGGGCAGAAAAAGCCAGUACGCAUGUGCAAAACGCCGCGGCAGGUAGGCGGGGACGGAAAGGCGGUGCCGAGAGCUGUGUUGUGCCCGGAAGUGCCUUCCUUCCUCCCGGGUCUGCGCGGACGGGGCCUCCUUAACUCAUUUGUCCUCGCCCCUCCCCGUCCUGCUACGCGUUUUGGUUCCCGGUUGGUGCUUCCUGUUUGCAGCCGUUGCAGUGAGUUUAUGGAGACAUUUAAGGCCCAGAGAAGGAAAUGGAAUUGCCAAAGGUUCUACAGUGAGUUCAUGGGAGGGGCAAGACUAAUGAGAAAACACACAUCUCUUGGGCACUCACUGGGCACUGUGCUUUGCAUACAUGAUCAUAUCCCAUCCUCAACUCUGAGGCUCAGAGACACAGGGAGUUGCCCAGGAUCACACAGUUAGGAGAUGGCAGAGCUGGAAUUUGAAAGCCGGUCUGAUUUUCCACACAGAUCGUUUGACCACUGACACUUUAGGGUUGCCUAAAACCCAGGCCCCGUCUCCCCGCUUCUCUCAGUCCACUCUAUCCCUGUAGUCCUCUGUUAUGUUACAUUGACUCCUAAAGAAAAAAGAUCCAAAUGGACACAGUUCUAGAGGAGUUUCAAAGCACUUGUGUCUUCCUGCACAUCAUCUCAGGAGAUCCUGACACCAGACC